rnacentral:snRNA from 1 species
GUGCUCGCUUCGGCAGCACUGGAACAACACAGGGAAGAUUAGCACGGCCCCUUAGCAAGGACGAUAUGCAAGUUUGUGACGCAUUCCAUAUUUUU